rnacentral:rRNA from 1 species
GACGAACGCUGGCGGCGUGCUUAACACAUGCAAGUCGAACGAGAGGAGAAGGAAGCUUGCUUCUUUCGAAUCUAGUGGCAAACGGGUGAGUAACACGUAAACAACCUGCCUUCAGGAUGGGGACAACAGACGGAAACGACUGCUAAUACCGAAUACGUUCCUUAGGUCGCAUGACUUUAGGAAGAAAGGGUGGCCUCUAUUUAUAAGCUAUCGCUAGAGGAUGGGCCUGCGUCUGAUUAGCUAGUUGGUGGGGUAACGGCCUACCAAGCCGACGAUCAGUAGCCGGUCUGAGAGGAUGAACGGCCACACUGGAACUGAGACACGGUCCAGACUCCUACGGGAGGCAGCAGUGGGGAAUCUUCCGCAAUGGGCGAAAGCCUGACGGAGCAACGCCGCGUGAGUGAUGACGGCCUUCGGGUUGUAAAGCUCUGUGAUCGGGGACGAACGGUCAGCAGACGAAUACUACUGCUGAAGUGACGGUACCCGAAUAGCAAG